rnacentral:piRNA from 1 species
UUUCUACACUCUGCUCAAUUC